rnacentral:rRNA from 1 species
GGGACACGUGGUAUCCUGUCUGAAUAUGGGGGGACCAUCCUCCAAGGCUAAAUACUCCUGACUGACCGAUAGUGAACCAGUACCGUGAGGGAAAGGCGAAAAGAACCCCGGCGAGGGGAGUGAAAAAGAACCUGAAACCGUGUACGUACAAGCAGUGGGAGCACCUUCGUGGUGUGACUGCGUACCUUUUGUAUAAUGGGUCAGCGACUUAUAUUCUGUAGCAAGGUUAACCGUAUAGGGGAGCCGAAGGGAAACCGAGUCUUAACUGGGCGUUAAGUUGCAGGGUAUAGACCCGAAACCCGGUGAUCUAGCCAUGGGCAGGUUGAAGGUUGGGUAACACUAACUGGAGGACCGAACCGACUAAUGUUGAAAAAUUAGCGGAUGACUUGUGGCUGGGGGUGAAAGGCCAAUCAAACCGGGAGAUAGCUGGUUCUCCCCGAAAGCUAUUUAGGUAGCGCCUCGUGAACUCAUCUUCGGGGGUAGAGCACUGUUUCGGCUAGGGGGCCAUCCCGGCUUACCAACCCGAUGCAAACUACGAAUACCGAAGAAUGUUAUCACGGGAGACACACGGCGGGUGCUAACGUCCGUCGUGAAGAGGGAAACAACCCAGACCGCCAGCUAAGGUCCCAAAGUCAUGGUUAAGUGGGAAACGAUGUGGGAAGGCACAGACAGCCAGGAUGUUGGCUUAGAAGCAGCCAUCAUUUAAAGAAAGCGUAAUAGCUCACUGGUCGAGUCGGCCUGCGCGGAAGAUGUAACGGGGCUAAACCAUGCACCGAAGCUGCGGCAGCGACGCGUAUGCGUUGUUGGGUAGGGGAGCGUUCUGUAAGCCGUUGAAGGUGUGCUGUGA